rnacentral:rRNA from 1 species
UGGGGAAUAUUGGACAAUGGGCGCAAGCCUGAUCCAGCAAUGCCGCGUGUGUGAAGAAGGCCUGCGGGUUGUAAAGCACUUUUAUUUGGGAAGAACGUUACUCGGUUAAGAGCUAGGUAACUUGACGGUACCAUCUGAAUAAGCACCGGCUAACUCCGUGCCAGCAGCCGCGGUAAUACGGAGGGUGCAAGCGUUAAUCGGAAUUACUGGGCGUAAAGCGUGCGUAGGCGGCUUUGUAAGUCGGAUGUGAAAGCCCCGGGCUUAACCUGGGAACUGCAUUCGAUACUGCAAGGCUAGAAUUUGGCAGAGGCUAGUGGAAUUCCAGGUGUAGCGGUGAAAUGCGUAGAGAUCUGGAGGAACAUCAGUGGCGAAGGCGACUGGCUGGGCUAAAAUUGACGCUGAGGUACGAAAGCGUGGGGAGCAAACAGGAUUAGAUACCCCCGUAGUCC